AAUAUAUUGGAGAUGUACCUAAGACAGAAAAUUUGGAAGUUGUCCUGAACCACCGGCCCGUCUUCCCCACGAAAGGUGUUGUGAGGAGAAGACAUCAAGGGCACUGAGACGUCCGGUUGAUCUUGACGCAGCUUGACACUCGAACGACCGCGUAGAGGAGUGCAGUCAUGAGCAACAUGGGGAAAAGCGUAGCUGCGUCGCCG
rnacentral:lncRNA from 1 species